CUGCACUUGAACACCCCCACUGCUGCACUGUGUAAAAAAAGCAUGAAACCAGAUAAACCACAGGAAUUCUUCUCGUUUUCUCAUUUGUGAUCAAAGAAAAUAACUAAAAGAGUGUCAGAAAAAUCUUCAUGUAAAUUAUGAACUUCGUCCGGAUUUUCCUCCUUUGGCCUGGUUACUCUCCACUAGUCUGUCAGAUUGCUGAUCCAUUCUUCAGCAUCCUCUACUCUGGUGAUUCCCUCUGAGUUCAUCAAGUCUUUUCUCCAGUCUGAUAGAGAAAGUACCCUGCUUAAAAGGCUUAU